rnacentral:rRNA from 1 species
GAUGAACACUGGCGGCGUGCCUAAUACAUGCAAGUCGAGCGAACGGACGAGUAGCUUGCUUCUCUGAUGUUAGCGGCGUACGGGUCAGUUACACGUUGUUAACCUCCCUAUAAGACUGGGAUAACUUCGGGAAACCGGAGCUAAUACCGGCUACUAUUUUGAACCGCAUGUUUUAAAAGUUAAAGACGGUCUUGCUUUCACUUAUAGAUUGAUCCGUGCUGCAUUAGCUAGUUGGUAAGGUAACGGCUUACCAAGGCAACGAUGCAUAGCCGACCGGAGAGGGUGAUAGGCGACACUGGAACUGGAACACGGUCAAGACGCAUAAGGGAGGCAGCAGUAGGGAAUCUGACGCAAUGGGCGAAAGCAUGACGGAGCAACGCAGCGUGAGUGAUGAAGGUCUUCGGAUAGUAAAACUCUGUUAUUAGGGAAGAACAUAUGUGUAAGUAAAUGUGCAGAAAGUGACGGUACCUAAUCAGAAAGCCACGGCUAACUACGUG